UACGUAGGCAGCAAGCGUUGUUCGGAGUUACUGGGCGUAAAGGGUGCGUAGGCGGCUUCUUAAGUCUGGUGUGAAAUCUCCCGACUCAACUGGGAGGGUGCGCCGGAUACUGAGGGGCUAGAGUGUGGGAGAGGAAAGUGGAAUUCCUGGUGUAGCGGUGAAAUGCGUAGAUAUCAGGAGGAACACCGGUGGUGUAAACGGCUUUCUGGACCAUAACUGACGCUGAGGCACGAAAGCGUGGGUAGCAAACAGG
rnacentral:rRNA from 1 species